UGGGGAAUAUUGCGCAAUGGGCGAAAGCCUGACGCAGCAACACCGCGUGAGGGAUGACGGCCUUCGGGUUGUAAACCUCUUUCAGCUCCGACGAAGCGAAAGUGACGGUAGGAGCAGAAGAAGCACCGGCUAACUACGUGCCAGCAGCCGCGGUAAUACGUAGGGUGCAAGCGUUGUCCGGAAUUAUUGGGCGUAAAGAGCUCGUAGGCGGUCCGUUGCGUCUGCCGUGAAAACCCGGAGCUCAACUCCGGGCCUGCGGUGGAUACGGGCGGACUAGAGUCCGGUAGGGGAGACUGGAAUUCCUGGUGUAGCGGUGGAAUGCGCAGAUAUCAGGAGGAACACCGGUGGCGAAGGCGGGUCUCUGGGCCGGAACUGACGCUGAGGAGCGAAAGCGUGGGGAGCGAACAGGGAUUAGAUACCCUGGUAGUCCACACCGUAAACGAUGAAUGCCAGUCGUCGGGUAGCAUGCUAUUCGGUGA
rnacentral:rRNA from 1 species